rnacentral:rRNA from 1 species
GACAGAGGGUGCAAACGUUGUUCGGAAUUACUGGGCGUAAAGCGUGUGUAGGCGGUUUGCUAAGUCGGAUGUGAAAGCCCCGGGCUCAACCCGGGAAGUGCACUCGAAACUGGCAAGCUAGAGUACUGGAGAGGUUGGUGGAAUUCUCGGUGUAGAGGUGAAAUUCGUAGAUAUCGAGAGGAACACCGGUGGCGAAGGCGGCCAACUGGACAGAUACUGACGCUGAGACACGAAAGCGUGGGGAGCAAACAGG